CUAAGUAAGGCAUCAGUUUGGUUUUCUAGAGUGGUCCUACAAGCUGGGAUGUAAUUUGGGAGGCCUCUUUGCCUUUGGGAGCGUGUGAAUACAUGUUUCUGUGAGGUCACCAGAAGCUCAAGAGGCCUAGGUCAAAGGGCCUCUCCUCUCUGAGGGAGCUACCAUCAAGCGCCACGAGAUGACAGGACAUCCUGGUGGCCAGGGUCAUCCACGGAGGGCUGCUAGAGGGGAGUGGUAAGCUGCAGCAGCGGGGUAUAGGUGUGACCAGAGAAACAAGAAAGCUUGGUUGUGGGGCCCCUUUCCUGAGGACCCUCUUUCCUGACUUGGGUUGGGGCUCUCCUAAGUUCUUCUUUUUGGUUAAAACAGUAAAGGGAGGAGGAACAAGUGCUGCAGGGAAAGGCUGUGAGAAGAGCAGGCUUGGGGCACUGGCAGGCCAGCUUGGGGCAGGGAAAGUCUGAAGGGUCCUUGAAGUAUCCCGCUAAGGUACGGCAGAGGCAGCUGGGCAGUGGAGACUGGAACUCAGGGAAGAGUUUCAGACUAGAGAUAAAGACUGCAGAAUCACUAUUAUCUGUGCUGUUAUCCUGUUUACACAGGGUGAACUGAGUAUAAAGGUCGGGGGACAAGAGAGAAAUGGACACACGCUAAAACUAUGUGAGAGUGUGUGGGGUGUUAACCCAGGGAGACAGCCAAACAGUUUUCUUCUUUACAUUAAAGCUGAACUUAAAAACUUAACAAGCAUAAUCGCCAAACUUCCACCACAGUGUUAUAGGUGACUUCAGCAAGCACUGCAGGUAAUGUGGUGUCCAUCGGAGCUCCACUGCUGUGUGGAGUAGAAUCACCCACCUCCCAGGAUAACUGCUGUGCACAGAGUGUGGUAGGAACUGGUUUCUUUUCUCUAAAUUCCUGGAGGCAGCCGUAGACCUGCAGCAGAAGAAGGGUGGGAGAACUGACGUUGGUAAUGUGCCUACUGACAUUCUGGAUUAAGGCUCCCAGAGGGAAGAGGCAGCCUGGGCAGCUGCCAACACUACAACAUGGCACUGUUGGCCUUUAGUACGGUGUGUGUCUUUAGAGGCUGAGGAGGAAUGAAUUCCAGUUUGGUCUUCAGAGACGUGAGUAUUGGCUGCCAGUAGGAAAUUGGACAAUUUCACCUCUGGACAAUUUCACUGGGAAGAAAUUCAAACUUACUCUUCUUAAACCAAGUAAAGAUAUAGUUUCUAGGGCUGAGAGCAACAGGGAGGUGUGGAAGAUGCACACAUCUCGAGGAGGGUUCUGUGGUCUAUAGUCCUGGGAGGCCUAGAAACAGAGCAGAGCAUGGGCUGUGUGGCUCAGGACCAAAAAGGACCUGAAUAAGAGGCCAGGUGUGCUGGGGAUGCUUAUCUGUCUUCUGCUCUGACCUUUGGGUGGUUUCUCAUUCCUCCAAUUCUCCAGAACAAAUUCAUUUGAAAAAAUUCCAACUUUGCCUCCGCUGAUUCUUAGGAAUUGUUCCUGUGCCACGAUCUAGGGUUGGGCUAAGUACAUCAAAGCCUAGCUCUGCAGUGCAGACCUUAAUCUUUUGUUUUGUUUUGAGAUAGGGUCUCACUAUGUAGCCCAGGCUGGCAUCGAAAUCAGUGAUCCUCCUGCCUCAGCCUCCCAAAUGCUGGAAUUACAGCCAUGCACCACUACACCAAGCCUCAUAUUUCAGGAAUUAAGCCUCUUCCAGAUGAAGAAAUAAGGUCCAUGGGGCCAGCUCAGCCCAGCCUUUUCCAUCCAGUUCUGUGAUGCUGCUGCUUCCAGCUCUACUAGCCACCAGCACUCAAGUUUACCUGAAAGUGCUCAAGGCUCACAGGGCAACAGCAGCUGCCCACUGGCCACAAAGGGGUUGACACCCUUCCCAGUGGUAACAGAUGUGCAGUUCUCAGUUGGUGGCAGAGCAGCAAACUCUUGGACGAAGGCCCAUCUCUUCCUCCUGUCUUCUCAAAAAGACACGCAGACCUCUUAUCACCUUAUCUACAGCUCAAGGCCUUUCUGGUACACUGUCCUGCUGGAAGCACAACCAUAAACAUCAUCCUAAACAGUGCAAGUGCUCCAGAAGGCUUGCAGGCUGCUAAAGGAGAAAAGAAUUUCGUUAAUGCCUCCUGCUGCCCCAGACCCGCUGCCAGGCCCUAUAAGAACCCCAGUCUCAGCCUGACUGCACGGCCCCUUGGCAGUGCACCUGGCCCAAAUAUACUCUUGUCUUUGCUACAUUCCUUGUCUCUUGGUAAAUUCUUUUACCAGCCCUGCCUUACUGGCCCUCUCCCCUCUCAGGGCAGGCAAUACCCAUAACGAAAUUAAAGUCCCUGUCUUAGCUGACCCCUGGGAAAAGGCCUAAUUGAAGUCAAGAAUUUUAAAACAGGUGGUCAGUCAGGCCUGUAACCCCAGAGCUCAGGAGGCUGAGACAGGCAGAUUGUCAUAAAUUUGAGGCCAGCCUGGGCUACACAGUGAGUUCAAGGCCAGUGUAAACUAUAUAGUGAGACCCUGUCCUAAAGAGCAAAAUAAAAUAAGUGAUGUCAGAACUUCUUCAUUCAUGGGAAAGAUGUUGGCAGUUUAAUUUUAAUGAAUAUAAUAUUAACAUGCAUCGUAAGACUGAGCAUAUUUCACCCUUAAGUGAAACACUGUAUUCAAGGUAACUUCAAGUGGAUCUUUCUUAGUAAUAUUUAUUCAGAGCAACAAAAUUAUAGUAGUAACAUCUGCCAUUGUGUAAUGAUGGUAUUUUAGCCAAAUUUGAAAAGAAGAAAUCUUCAGGGUAAGAUACACCCAAAGAAUUAUAGAUGUCUCAUUUCCUGACCUUAAAAAGAAGAAUAGUUGAGUGAGUUUGAGGCCAGCCUGGACUGCAUAGCAAGAUCCUAUCUCAUCCCCCCCCCCCCACUGAAAAAAAACUUUAAAGAAUAAAAAGAGGAACAAUUUAUUUUUUGGUGGGGGUACUGGGGAUUGAGCUCGGGACCUUGAGCUUGUGAAGCAUAUGGUGGCACCACUGAGCUAAAUCCCUAGCCCAAGAGGAACAAUUUUUAAAAGCACCUUAUUUGUCUAGACUUGGGCUCAAGAACAAAGGAGGGGAAUAGCUGAUAAGGUGCUGCUAGUGGCCACUGCGGUGCCUGCUUUGUGACCCCAGGGGCCUUCAAGAUUGGUGCAGAAAACAGCAGCAGCAUUCUUUCCACCUAACUCCUUCCUUCCUGAGCUAAAAACUGGCCACUUUCCUCUGAGGACCACACAGAAAUCCCCGUGAGUGACAGGGGAAGCCGUGGGGAAGCAGCUCCUCUGGUCUGAAUGUUUCUGUCCCACGAAAUUCCUCUGCUGAGAUCCUCAUCCCCAGGGUGGCUCUAGGAAGUGGGGACGUGGGAAGGAGGAGGUUGCCUAGUGGGGAGGAACACUCACCCCUUCCCACGUAUGGGCCAGGAAACCGCAGCAUGAGCCUUCAACAGACACCCACACAGCCAGUGCCCACCCUGGGCUUUCAGCCUCCAGGCCACGGGGAGAACAUUUCUGAUGCUCACAACCUGCUCAGUUUGUGGCACUGCCACAGCAGCCAGAAUGGAGCAGGACAGCUGUCCUCGCCACAAGAGGCAAAGCCCAAGCCAUGGCGCCUUGCUCACCUUCAG
ensembl:lncRNA